UGAACUAUAAAACAAUACAAUGGAAAAUUUCCUGGUAAAUUGUGUACAACACAUUGCAAACAGAAGGAACCUUGGCGCAGGAAGGGAGCGAAGGAAUGAUUGGUAUACGAAGGACCUGUCAUCACCAGCCCUCCAGCAUUGGCAGUCGUUAUUGAGGAACACUGCUAGUUAAAAAGCUAUGGGUAUUUCUACUGCCCUUUCAAUUGGGCAUGAGUCAAGAUCAUAUAUCAAGACAUGCAGGAGACCUGUUGAAUCAGGCAGGAUCGCUUUCACAAAGAGGCUUUGCAGUUCUUUUUUCUGGUAAAGUUAGUGAAAAUUUACCUUGAUCAGAAUCAAUUAUGAAGAAUGGGAAGUGUACAACAAAAACGUAAAAAGAACUGUAUUUGUGAAAUACAUUUCAUGAGCUCAGGAUGCUCCGAAGCACGAAGUAGAUUUUGAAUAUAGCCAUUAUUUAAAGGAAAAGUCACUGACAAUUUUCACUCAAUCAGCAAUGUGAUCACAAACAGAUCACCACCCUGAAAUGUUCUCCUGUUAGGACAAGAGAUAUCAGCAGAGAGGAAUCUGUGGCCUUUCAGGAUGUAAAAGCAUCUGGGAUCAUCUGAAUCAGCAAGUACCAAAUUGGUGGUCAGCAGGCUUUGGAUCAGCAUUAGUCCAGGUACAAAGAACUCUUGGCCAACAAGAUCCGCUGCCCCUAACUCAUAGCAUUACCUCGGACAUCGUGGCUGCGGCUGGCAUGGACGACCGACCACAGGAAUGCAGAAAUACACCUUUCACAGCCAUCAAGACCUGGAGUGAGACUUGAACCCAAAGCUACUGCCCACUGCGCCAUGAGGCCUCCAUGUACAGGACCACAGUAGCAGAAAGGAAUGCCCACCAGUGCUAUUGAAAGGGAUGAUUCAGAUGCUGCCAGACCUGCUGAGCUUCCAGUAACUUCUCAUAAUGUCUCAUCCACUCAAACUCACAUUACAUCCUCUUUGUAGCUACUUGCAGAGAAAAAGAAAAAAAAGUGGAUGAAAAGGACUCUCAUAGAUUGUGAAAACUUAAUGUAAACUAAACAUGACCAUGGCAGGGAUGGCAUUCAACGUGCAUAAAGAAAAUGCAGCAAGCUGACAGGUUGCUGUUUUCCUGCAAAGUGUUUCAAACUGCCUGUUGUCGGUGUUGCCAUGAUGCUGGUAGUGAAACCCACCACUGGGGGAUUUCACAUCCUUGCCAAAAUCAGUCAAGAUAUGGUAGAAGUACAAUUCCCAAUGAUUCGUCAGGAAUCGAGUGUAAAACCCAGCUCUUGACGUAAAAGCGAAGGCCAUAUGUUAUCAUGUUCCAAUUGUGCUCUGAAGGCGAUGUUAUUGUCAGUCUAACCCACCUUAAUGUCUGGCACAUCAUUAGAGCUGCUGCUUUGUGCCCUCUGUCCCUCAUGCUCCCCUUUCGUUUGACAAUGAUCGAGCUGGAAUGAUGUGCUCUUUACCCUUCACUUAUGUGGCUCGGUGAACAACCGGCAGAAUGCCCAAUGGAAAUGUAGGUUGGAGCUUGGGUUAACCGCCUUCGGCAAUGGCAAAUACCGCUUACUAAGAACAAACAAGUCAGUUUUAGGAUUCAGUCAAUAAAAAGCCCAGACAACUAUUAAAAGAGCAUUCUCGACAGAGGAAGGAGGUAAGGGAUCAUCCAGUGUGUGACCCCCCAUAAUACUUCACACUGACCCCUCCUUCAAUGUGGCCCUUCUUACUGUGGAAGGACACUCUCGCCUACUGAGCUAGGAAAUCAAUGUUCUGACCUACCCAGUGUAUUUCUAAUGGCGCAGUUAGUUAUGCAGGGUUAAACAAUUUUCAGUUCAGUCAAAUGCCCUUGAGGCAAAUCCCAGUGCAUGGCUUGUUUAGUCAUUGAACAGCUCUCACAUUUCAGUGACGGGUCAAAAAUUAUCCCCAAGUCCUUUUCCUCUUCUAAUUUUGCAAAUAGACUUUCAUUCAUUGCGGAAACAUAGCCUGCUUCCUGUUCCAGUCUGCAUUAGCAUACAUUUCUCACAUUGAAACCAAUUUCCAUUCCAUCAGUCAUCUCCUUAAAUCAUCCACAUCUUUUAGGGGACUAUUUAUUUCCUUUGACGCAGAUCAAUUCAGCAAAACAAUUGUUGUGUCAGCAACAGAUUUAGUGUGCACUAUAUACAAACAUCACAGCCUUCUAUCUUAUGGAGAACCUCAACCAUUCCCAAUAAACUAUUCCAAUUGUUUCAAGCACCAGUUUGUCCUGAUUAAUGUCUCAGAUCAGUAGAUUUAAACCGCACAGCCAAUCUGCAUAGUUAGAGGAACCGAUAGUCUACCGAAACUCUCUCUGAUGCUUCAAGAGUAUGAGGUCCAGGACAUAAAAUGAAAUACAUUAAUAAAUGCAGAGCUCAUUGAAACAACAAAACCAAAGGCAAAAACCUCCUAAUGUCAUUUAGUGGCCUUUGUUUUGCACACAUCAGCAGCCUCAUUCGCUAUUAAUAAGAAAACCUCAUAAAAAUUUGUACUCUGAAUAUAUAUAAUAUAUAUUUAAAUAUGUAUAUGUUACACACAUAUAUAAUAUUUACAUAUGUACUAGUGUGUGAGAAGUCCACUACUGUACAGAAUAUAACAAUUUUAACUAAGGGAUGUCCAUGUGCAUUGAAAACCUAAACAGUUAUUCUACAAAAUGAGGAGGAGAAAGUUGCCAGCAGCAAUGAAUUUUCCUCAACUGGUAGCUCCUGGACAGGUUUGAGCAAACUCGUUGUUCUCCAGAAGAAUCAGGAAAGAAGUGAUGGAAAUUUUGGAAUGGGCUUCUUUUAAGCCUAACAGCCAAAUGGGGAAGAGAUCAUGGCAUCUGAAGAAUUCAGCUGAAAUAACAAGCUAUCUCCAGGGUGUAACGUCCAGAUUGUAAUGCCAAGUCAAUUUUAUUCUAGAGAGCUCUAUCGCAGUCAGAUUUUGAAAGCGUCAUGAAUAGCACUUUAUCCAAUUCCGUCUGAAAUUCAUCUUCAGCUGUGUCCUCUGAACGAGCCUAUUAUAUCAGUCAAGUUCUUGGUUGGAAUGAAACCUCAACAAUAUCUUUAAUUUCUGGGCAUAUGGCUCAUGAUGUUGAAACGUGGUCAAAGGGACAGCUCCAGAGCAUCAAGACCACUUACUGUUUAACCUGAAAGAGCCUUUGUAAAGAAACGAGAUUGUUUUGACGCGUGUUAAUAGGCUGCUUUAAUGGUGAGCGCCACCACCAGGUGAGGUAAUGAGAGUGCAGGGAGAGGAUUGCAGUGUUGCAGCCUGAUAUCCCCACCCAGCAACAAAUAAAUCCAGGGCAACCUGUGAAUUUUAGCGUUCAGGAUAAUUACUGUGGUAUCAACAAAUAUGGACCUCUUUCAAAGUGAAUUCAUCUCCACUGCUGCCGUGAGGCCACAUAUCAACGGGAUGUCAGUCCCUGAGGAAAACCCCAGGGAAACUCAGACCAAAGUCAAUUCCAAAGACCGCCAACAAUUUCUUAAUUCUAGGUUAGCAUUGGAAUCUGGCUAUUCUCAAAAUUACAAUUUUUCAUUCACUUCUGUAUCUCCCGGCAAUAUUUCACAGGCUGUGAAAUCUGCCAAAGACCUCAUGAGGUCAGCGGGUGUGUCAAUUUGGAGCCACAUUAAAGUGGUACCUACAUUUUCCCCCAAUGCCUUCACUGAUUGCCACCUCUCAUGGUAUUCCACAU